rnacentral:rRNA from 1 species
AGUGAACGCUGGCGGUAGGCCUAACACAUGCAAGUCGAACGGCAGCACAGUAAUAGCUUGCUCUUACGGGUGGCGAGUGGCGGACGGGUGCGGAAUACAUCGGAAUCUACUUUUUCGUGGGGGCUAACGUAGGGAAACUUACGCUAAUACCGCAUACGACCUACGGGUGAAAGCAGGGGAUCUUCGGACCUUGCGCGAUUGAAUGAGCCGAUGUCGGAUUAGCUAGUUGGCGGGGUAAAGGCCCACCAAGGCGACGAUCCGUAGCUGGUCUGAGAGGAUGAUCAGCUACACUGGAACUGAGACACGGUCCAGACUCCUACGGUAGGCAGCAGUGGGGAAUACUGGACAAUGGGCGAAAGCCUGAUCCAGCCAUACCGCGUGGGUGAAGAAGGCCUUCGGGUGGUAAAGCCCUUUUGUUGGGAAGGAAAAGCAGCAGGUUAAUACCCCGCUGUUCUGACGGUACCCAAAGAAUAAGCACCGGCUAACUUCGUG